rnacentral:lncRNA from 1 species
AUGCCCGCGGCCGCUUCUCCCACGAGGCCACCUGCUGGUGCCCGGAUCCAGCGGACCGCCGGGGCUGCAGCGGGAGCCCCCAGUGGACCUCCCCCAGCCCCACCACACACACGCAACCUCCCACCCCAUUCCCGCCCCGGCGCCCCGCGCAGCCGCCGUUGUUUAAAGGGGCCGCAGCCUGACUUCCAGGUGGGGAGCGCGAGUGGGCCCGGCGCGGCGGGGCCAGUGCGCAUGCGCGAGGCGCGAGCGGCCUCUCGCGUCACAGCGGUUCCCACGGUUGUCUUAGAAACCGGCCCCCUGAGGCUUGGCAAAGCAGGAGCCCUCCGUGGCGGUGCUUGGGUGUCGGGGCUGCGAGGCUCCUGCCUCACCUCUCCACGGGGUCGACAGGAACGUCUCCGGACGGACGCCGGGAGUCGCACCGCGCCGGCCAGGAUGACAAAAGCGCAGGCGGAGUCCGGGGGAAGCGGCGCGUCGUCCCAGCCUCAGGCCUGCCCGGACGGUGUUGGGGUGAGUCUCCCCAAAAGUCUUGCCCCCGCGAUCUCCACCACGGGUCCGCCCGCCUGUCCGUGGGCUGCUCUCUCCCCCGAGGGGCCUUCACGCGCGGAGCGGGAGCCUGCAGCGUCAGGGGGGCUGUGUGCCUGCGGGGGCUGCGUUUCUGUGCCGCUGCUGCCGUGUGACUGUGUGUGUCUGCGUCUCUCCCAUCCUCUCUUGUCUCUCUGGCCCUCACUCUCUGUGUGUGUCUUUCCCUCUUUCUGCCGGUUCGUGUGUGCGUGCCCGUGUGCGUGGGUGCGUUCGGACGAAUGCGCCCGGUGCGCCCAAAGGCGACUGCUUGCGCGUCGGCCUGGCUCUGCCGAGCCUCUUUCUUCUGCCUCUGUGCCUGGGUCUUGCGGCGGGCUCGUCAGUGGUUUCCGCCGCCGUUCCACUUGGGGUCCUCCUCCCUGAGGGCCUCGACCGCGUGAGGAGAUGCGUCUUCCCCAGCAGCAGUGGAAAUCUCGUUACCCUUGCCGAGCGGACUCUCUCCUGGGAUCAAGAUAACCACAGUCCAGCCAGGGCCAAAAGCCCCAGAGGGGCUCGUCGCCCUGCAGGAGAGGAGCAGACCCGCCUCAGAGGAGACGCUUGUACCUUUCACGGCUCUUCUCUGAGAAAUGAAGCCGCACCACGGCAGAAGCUUGAAGAGGAAGCCGGGAAGGGGAGAUGCCAGGCCUCCCGGUCCCUGGAAGGCUGGCCUCUCCGGACAAGUCAGCCGUUGGGCAACCCUCCCCUUAGGCCCGCGGCGGUGGCACCGGGCAGUGUCGGCCUGGGCUCCGGCCUCUGCUCUGUCCUCCCUCUUGCUCUGUCUCCCCUGUCUCUCGGGGCCUACACGCUGUCGGUCUGGCCGAACGUCUUGGACGCAGAUGGCUUCCCAGUCGGUCAGGGAGACACUCCUCGGAGAUCCGUGUGGUGACGGUUUCUCUCUCCAAACCUGUUUCUGCUUGCUUGGGCAGGUUCCAUGACCCUGGAGCUCCUGGCUCCCAUACGUGUCUCCCACAGGGAAGCUGUCUUGCUCUCCCUGUUUCACCUCAUGGCUGGGUGGCCUGCCUAGCAUGAGCGCUAGGCGACCGUGACCGGCCUUGUCUUCUUGGACAGGCGGUGCGGCACUUCCCCUCUGCACUUCCCCUCUCGUUCUUGAGGCACAGCCUCUCCUCGGCUCCUCUGAGCAGGUGGACUGACUCCCUGAAUCUUCUGGCUCCCUCCUGGAUCCCAGGCGUUCUUUGAUUUCCCUUGGAAUCCACGGGCAGGUCCCUUGGGACCCUCUUCCACCCGGGCACAGGCCUGGACUCCGCUGUUGGUUUCGCCGUCGCCCCGUACGCCCGGGCUGACACGCAUUCACAUCGUCUGCUCGGGGAUCGGCCAGUGCCACGCGUGGGGCCAAUGGCUCCGCCGCGGAACCGCCCCUGUCCCUGUUUGCGCAGGUCCUGGAAAGCAGAGGCAGCUUGCGGGAGCCCCGGGGCUUUUGCAAGCGGGGCUAGGCCGCCGCUCUUUCAGUGAGGGAUGGAGGCCGAGGGUCCUGCACGCUUUUCAGUCUGUCUGAAUGUCUUCAACAUGGGACAGUUUCCAUUUCAUCAGGAGAUACUUCCUAGGCGUCCGGAUCUUGAUUGCUUUCUUCUCUUGUGGUAUUUCUUAUUGUUUGGACCGGUUUUAUUACCCUGGAGCUCUGGACCUCAUACCUUUCUGGGAGGGGGGACUUCCAUUGAUCUCCAUGUCUCAAGUGAUUGCUGCCUGGUUUGUCCGAGACCAGCGUGAUGCGACCCCUCCGUGGCUGACCUUUGCCUGCCAGGAAAGGCAAUGUUGCAUCCCUCCUGUAAUUUUUCGCUUAUUUCUGAAAUCCUUUCGGUUCCCCUGCUCCUUGGCAAAGUGCCUUCAAGCACUGAAUCUUUUGACUGCCAGGGAUUUCAAGUCUCCCAAGGGAUUGGGUUUUGCUGGUUGUCAGGGGAGGUGGUGUCAGGGGAACCACCUGGUGGUGGGCUGUUUGUGGGGUAUACUUUUUCAAAACGUCUCGGCCCCUCUGGCAGGCAUCCCUGCCUGUGGCUUGGACUCUAGCACAGGUCCUGUCUCUCAGGUUUUCAGGUGUGCUUGGCUUUUCCUCAACUUUGUGUGGGAGAUCCCAGUGGCCCCUGGGCACAUGCCUGGACCUCACUGUCUGCCUCAGCAUCGUCCCAGAUGACCUCAAAGACACACACUCACUCCAUCUGCUCUUGGGGGAAGUCAAUGCCAUGUGUGUUCACAUUGGCUCUAUCUUGGCCUCGCCUUUGUCUCUUGUUGCAUGUGUUGGGGUAAGCUGUGUCGGGAUUUUGGAGUCCCCGGGCCUUGGAGACGAAGGUAAACCCCUGCCCUACUCAGGAAGGAGGGAGUCAAUGGACCUAUGGGCCAGUUUAUUCAGCCAACAGCAGGCCAUGCAACUCUUGGGAUCUUUCUGUGCCCCAGCGAGGCCCUUCCGGCCUCACUACAUUGUAACCCCAUUCCUGAUCACCCGGUCGGAUCCAUUAUUGGAUUCGAAGAGGUGUCCAGAGAGCCCAGCGGGCAUCCCGAAGCUCCUCCUCCACCGGGAACCAAAGCAGAAAACCAAUCAAGAAGGUCCUGACGAUAGGACUCCUAUGGGUCUGACCCUGGCUCUCGCGCAGGCCCCUCUCCUAGUCCUCUUCCCACUUGCCACCUCGGACUGCUCCGCUGCUACCACCGCGGCCCCAGUCCCCGCGUCGCGUCGCCACCAUUUUUUAAGGGGUCCCCAGCCUGACUCUCUGGAGCAAAGGGGGAGUCAGCCUCGCCAGUGCUCAUGCGCGAGGCCUGAGCCGCCGUUUUGGUCACAGUGAUUGACACCAUUUCCUGGGGAUGGUUCCCUGAGACUUGGCGAAGUAGGAGCCCUGUGUGAUAGUGCGUCAGAGUCGGGGCUGAGAGCAGUCCUGGCCAGGGCGUUAACAGGAUGGUCUCCAGAGGCCGGGAUUCACGGAGAACCAACCAGCAGGAAGAAACCCCAGGAGGAAGAAACCUCCGGCUGAUCUCCGGGGAGGCAGCGCGAGAUCCCAGCCUCAGGCCAGGAUUCGUGGAGCGUCAAGGAGGCCUCUUUCCCAAUCUUCACUUCACCUGCCACCGCCUCAGUCCCCACAGCCCCCGCUCCACCAUAUUUUUUUUUAUGUAGUCAGUGUCUCACUGUCACCCAGUCUGGAGUGCAGUGGCGAGAUCUCAGCUCACUGCAAAGUCUUCCGCCCGGAUUCAAGGGAUUCUCUUCCCUCCGCCUCCCGAGUACCUGGGGUUAGAGGGAUUAGUCAGAGUCAGGGCUAAGACCAGCUCUCACCAGGGGCAUAGACGGGAUGGUCUUGGAGGCCAGGAUUCACGGAGGGUCGUCCAGGAGGAAGAAACCACGGGCAGAGGGCCGGGGAAGCAGCGCGGGAUCCCAGGCUCAGGCCUGCACCAACUGAUGGUGUGCCAGUGAGUCUCUUCAAAAGAGGAGAGGUUUGCUUGUGUGCCUGUGGGCUGCUCUCUUACCCACGGGUCAUAGUCACAGAGAGCAGAACCCGGCAGCUUCAGGGGCUGCCUGGGAGUGGGUGUUACCCUGCCACUGCCAUACGUCUUUGUGCAUUUGUGUGUGUGCCUGCAUCUCUUCUUUCUCUCUCCUUUCUCUCUCUUUCGCUCUGUGUCUGUGUGUGUGUGUGUGUGUGUGUCCGUGUGUGUGUGUGUUGGGACACAUGUGCCCUGUGUGCCGGAGGGUGGUAUCUUGUACGUUGACCUUCCCUCUGGUCAGCCUCUCCCUGCGUCUCUGCCUGGGGCAUGUGGCCGGUUGUCAGUCGUUUUUCCGCUGUUCCAGUUUGGGUUUGUGAAAGUCUGGAGGAGUUGGGGAGCUGUGUCUAUCUGGUAAGGAUUUAAAUCACCUCUCCACCCUGAGAGGCCUGUUUUCUAGGAUUAAGACCUCUACCCCCGAGCCAAGGGUAGUAAGUCUCACCUGAGAAGUCAUCGUCUCCCUGCAGGAGCGGAGCAGAGCGACCUCAAAGAAGAUGGUUCUCAUUCCUCUCUCUCUUUCAUCUCAUUGAGAAAUCUAGCCACAGGGUAACACAGGUUUUGAAAAGAAGGGAACGGGACCAUGGCAAGGAUCU